rnacentral:SRP_RNA from 1 species
ACCGGGCACAGUUGUGCGUUCCUGUAGUCCCAGCUACUCGGAAGGCUGAGGUGGGAGGAUCGCUUGAGCCCAGGAGUUCUGGACUGCAGUGAGCUAUGCCAAUCGGGUGUCUGUACUAAGUUCAGCAUCGAUACGGUGACCUCCCGGGAGCGGGGGACCACUAGGUUGCCUAAGGAGGGGUGAACCAGCCCAGGUCAGAAACAGAGCUGUCAAAACUCCCGUGCUGAUCAGUAGUGGGAUUGCGCCUGUGAAUAGCCACUGCACUCCAGCCUGGGGAACAUAGAGACCCUGUCUCU